rnacentral:rRNA from 1 species
UAACAGCCCACCAAGGCGACGAUCGGUAGCCGGACUGAGAGGUUGAUCGGCCACAUUGGGACUGAGAUACGGCCCAGACUCCUACGGGAGGCAGCAGUGGGGAAUAUUGCACAAUGGGGGAAACCCUGAUGCAGCAACGCCGCGUGAAGGAUGACGGUUUUCGGAUUGUAAACUUCUGUUCUCGUUGACGAAGACAGUGACGGUAAACGAGGAGCAAGCCACGGCUAACUAC